ensembl:ncRNA T08B1.8 ncRNA
CAGAGCAGAUAUUUCGCGCUCCUAUAUAUUUAUUCAAAAAUGUUUAUAAGCAGAAAAACAUUUUUGAAUAAAUAUAUAGGAGCGCGAAAAACAAGAUCAAAUAAAUGAGGAAGUGAGUCAUC